CGCUUUCCGCCUCCUUCACGUCUACGCUGAACUUGUACUCCUGGUCACAGCCCAUGUAGGCGUCACUCAUGAAGUACAAUGUGUAGUUGUGAGUCCCCGUGGCUGGAGCCACAAAAUCCAGCUUGACCUGGGUGGGGAGGGGGAGGUGUUGGGAUGGCAGCAGGGACAGCAGGGAAGGUGCCCAGUGCCACUCCCGGUGCCACCCCCUACUCACCUUGGCCUUCUGCUGCAGCGUCAGGCGCUUGAUGGAGAUGAGGCUGUUGGACUUGGAGUCUCCGAUCACCACCCACCAGCCCUCCUCACGUUUCUGAGGAGGAGGGAGGAGCAAACAGCUGCACCAGCACCACCACGGGCCCUCCACUGCAGGAACAGAACCACAGAAUUGUGGAAUGGUUGGGGUUGGAAGGACCUUAAAUUCCACCCAGCUGGAGGGACCCCAAGGCCACCCACCUGCGGAUGCUGUCCUUGUCCACCACCUCGUAGGACAGCUCGAUGUUGGGGUAGCGGUUGCAGAACCGGGCGACAUCGGCGAUCUGGGCAUCCGAGAGCUGCAGCAGCGCGUUCCUGUCCUCGUCCUCCAUCUCCAUGAUGUCAAACACGCUCUCCACACCCUGCAAGGAGGGAUUUUUUCAGCCUGGAGCUUCCUGGCACUCUGAGGGCAGGGCCCUGGUGCUCCUCCCACCAGGAUUUACCUUGUCCGUGCAGCGCUUGAUGUGCUCCGAGGUGAAGUGAGGCAGCUGCUUGAGGUAGGAGUCCUUGGACCACAUGGCCUGGGUGACCAUCUGGGCCAGCUCCAUGGCCGCCAGAGCUGGGCUCAGCCACCCAUUGCUGGACAGCACGUCCACGCAGGCCUGGAUCAGCCGGAUCGCCUGGACAUGGGGGACAGGAAGAGGUUAAGGGGUGGAGACAGUGACAUGGGGAGUUGGGUUGGUGUGCCCAGGGUUUGGUAGCGGAGGGGCUACAGGGUUGGAUUCAGUGAGAAACUGCCAGAAGUUUGCCCCAUGUCCAGCAGAGCCAAUUACAGCAGACCCAGGACGGACCCACCACUGGCCAAAGCUGAGCCCAGCAGGAAUAACAGUUACACCUUCUGGGAUAAAAUGUUUAAGGAAAAAGUUAUGGCACAGAUGGAACUGGGUGCAGGGAGGAGCAGAGUGAGAACAUGUGAGAGAAGCAGCCCUGCAGAGCAGCAGGAGCAACAUGGUAUGAACUGACUGUGACCCCCAUUCCCAUCUCUGGAGGUAGGAGGGAGAGCCUGGGAAGGAGGGAGGGGAAAGUGUUUUUUGAAGACUUAUUUAACUUUUCAUUAUCCUGCUCUGAUUUGGUUGGUAAUAAAUUCAAUUCCUAUCCCCA